GAUGAACGCUAGCUACAGGCUUAACACAUGCAAGUCGAGGGGUAACAAGAGGAAAGCUUGCUUUUCUUGUUGACGACCGGCGCACGGGUGAGUAACGCGUAUCCAACCUGCCUAUAACUAGGGAAUAACCUUGCGAAAGUAAGACUAAUACCCUAUGAUUUCCUUUGAUGGCAUCAGAUUAGGAAUAAAGAUUUAUCGGUUAUAGAUGGGGAUGCGUCUGAAUAGCUUGUUGGCGGGGUAACGGCCCACCAAGGCAACGAUCAGUAGGGGUUCUGAGAGGAAGGUCCCCCACAUUGGAACUGAGACACGGUCCAAACUCCUACGGGAGGCAGCAGUGAGGAAUAUUGGUCAAUGGGCGGAAGCCUGAACCAGCCAAGUAGCGUGCAGGAUGACGGCCCUAUGGGUUGUAAACUGCUUUUAUACAGGAAUAAAGUUAGCCACGUGUGGUUAUUUGUAGGUACUGUAUGAAUAAGGACCGGCUAAUUCCGUGCCAGCAGCCGCCGUAACAC
rnacentral:rRNA from 1 species